rnacentral:rRNA from 1 species
UCAGGACGAACGCUGGCGGCGUGCCUAAUACAUGCAAGUCGAGCGGAUCUGAGGGAGCUUGCUCCCAAAGAUUAGCGGCGGACGGGUGAGUAACACGUGGGCAACCUGCCUGUAAGACUGGGAUAACUCCGGGAAACCGGGGCUAAUACCGGAUAAUUCAUUUCCACUCAUGUGGAAAUGCUGAAAGACGGUUUCGGCUGUCACUUACAGAUGGGCCCCGCGGCGCAUUAGCUAGUUGGUGAGGUAACGGCUUCACC